rnacentral:rRNA from 1 species
UACAGAGGCCUCGAGCGUUAGGCGGAAUCACUGGGCUUAAAGCGUGUGUAGGCGGACUUCUAAGUACCUUGUGAAAUCCCACGGCUUACCCGUGGAACGGCUGGGUAUACUGGGAGUCUUGAGCCACCUAGGGGCGAGUGGAACAAAUGGUGGAGCGGUGAAAUGCGUAGAUAUCAGAAGGAACACCCAUGGCGAAGGCAGCUCGCUGGCCUACAACUGACGCUGAGGCGCGAAAGCGUGGGUAGCAAACAGG